rnacentral:rRNA from 1 species
GACGAACCGUGCGAACGUUAUUCGGAAUCACUGGCUAAGCGCGUGUAGCGAUGGGGACGUCGGUCGCUGAAAUCCCGGCUCAACCGGGAACGGGCGCCGAAACGCCCGUCUCGAGGGACGUAGGGACCCUGGGAAACUUUCCCGGGUGGGAGCGGGUGAAAUGCGUUUGAGAUCGGGAAAGGGAAACGCCCGUGGGCGAAAGCGAGGGUCCCUGGGCGUC